rnacentral:lncRNA from 13 species
UUAUUUUAUUGAUGGGAAAGGGGAUGGCCUCCACAGGUACCCAUACAAACAGACUUAACAUGCUGUGAAAGGGUCAAUUUGGCCUCAAUUUUCCAUUUCUUCAUUAUCUGCAUUUAGAGUCACACUGAGAGUCUCGAUGGGGUUUCAAGAAACUUCAGCCCUGCCUGCAUUUACCAUUUCAUCUAGCUGCUUCACAAUGGACUAGAAAAGCAACACAUGAAGGAAGCGAUGAGCUUUUUGCUCAUAUCAAGCCACACAUUGUGAACCUGGGAAGGCUGGGCUACAGAGAAAUCCUACUAUAAAACAAAAUAGGUGAGUUGGAAUGAUCAUUGGCAUGCUGUCUAGCAAAGGCUGCCAAUCAAUCUGAACUAAACCAUCUGGGUGUUAGACUAGCCACA